AACAAAAUGCAAGACUUAGUGUUGAAAUUGAGAUAAGGCAUAAGAUAGGUUGGUUCCUGGAGCAGAGCUUCCGAAGGCAGUAAUACAAAUAUCAAUAGACAAGAAAUAAAGUAUUAUUGAGCUCUUGAAUAGCAUAUAUCAUAAGUUUAUGAGAAAAUUCUUGUCCUUACAAUGACUAUUGAAGUCAUUAUUUAUAGUUGCACCUAGAGAACAAGGUCCUAGGAUCAAGCCCUUCUUAAAUGACAAUUAUGGGGGCCAUUGAAGAAUGUGUAACGGCAAGCAACGAAUGCCAAAAUUCUCUAUAACGGACUGCGUAUUUAAUACUGCAGAAUAUUCUUCAUUGAACGCCAUCGGGUGGGAGGCAUUCAUUUUCUUCACUAACAAUAUUUCCUCCGGGGUCUUCCCCGUGCCAACCGAAACUACUGCCCCCGGUCUUGAUUUCUACCUGUCUCUCGUUCCAUGUGUCGCUCUAUUACACGAGUAUUUAAUAUGAACCAAUUUUACCCUAUACAAUAAUAAGUGGUAAAUUGAACAUUCAUUAUAUAUAUAUAUAUAUAUAUAUAUAUAUAUAUUUCUUAGGCAUUGUUGACGAAAUUCAUGAUUUUGCCAUUGGUUGCUAACUUCCAAGAAAUUAUCAAACAUUUUAAAAUUUUAUUAAAAUUUAAACCUUCAAAUUGUAAUUUUCAUUUGCUUCAUCAUCUGUUAGUCCACACCCUUAAAUGCAAUACAACUCGAUCUUUCUUGACAAUGAUGUGGUGGAUAGUCUUGUCCAUUUAUCUCUUUAUGUACCUAAAAAAAAAUCCAGAAAGUUUGUAAGAUCUACACACUCUCAACAAUCACAUGCUUCAAAUGAAAAAAGGCCAAAUUUCAGUUCUUUGAACCUUACAACGUGAUCCAUCAAAUCUCAGAACGUAUUUCCAAGAAGUACAAAGUGUACAGCUCAACCUUUUCUUUUUGCCUAUCUUUUGUUUGAAUAUGGAGUUGUUUAAUGAGGAAGGUUAAAUUAUGAGCUCAUUGUUUCAAAGAGAGGAAUUAGGUAUUUAUAGAAAAA
rnacentral:lncRNA from 1 species